AUAGUUCUCUUGGGGUGUUUUUCUUAACCGAAGAUCUGAGAUCAUACCCAGGAACCUGACCCGGAUAAUACUGGCGCAGGAAAGAGGCUACAGGGGGUU
rnacentral:ncRNA from 2 species